ensembl:lncRNA
CCUUUGACAAAUUUCAUUCAUUAAAAUAUUUCAGCCCUUUGCAUGCAUGUGCAGACUGCGCAGACCAGCAUCUCUUGGCCACUUCCUGCCACAGGUGUAUUAUGGUCUCCGCAGCGAGGCCAACAGAUGAGUUCAUCAGGCAACGUCCUAAAGGCAACGUGAGCUGGGGCCAGAGGGGUUUUCCUCAGAGGAGCCGUGUGGGAACAUGUCUCCACGUCUCCGAAAUAUCCACCUCAUCCCCACGCUUCCCCCGCAGGUGCAGCAGCGCUAAGUGCCCACACAGUGUUCCUAUCGCGGCCACCAGUACCCUCAGCUCACCUGGGGAGGGUCUGAAAAACCCGCUGCCCCUCCCCCACUCCAACUUAACCUUCUGAAGAGUCUCCAGGUGAUUCUAAUGUGAAGUCAGUGCGGUCUCGAGUUAUAUGCGCAGUGAAAUAAUUUUUCCCUGUGAUGGUUAAUUAACUUAGCAGCUUGACUGCGCGCCGAGAUGUUCAUGGUUUAGUAACUCAGUCGUGUCCGACUCUCUCGACCCCGUGGACUGUAGCCCGCCAGGCUCCUCUAUCCUUGGGAUUCUCCAGGCAAGAACACGACUGGGAAUGACAUCCGGGUGGUGAAGAGGGGCACCCCGGCCCGGCUACGGCUCCCCGACAGCCCGCCAUCGGCCCCCACGGUGCUGAAUCGGAGGCUCUCGUCGAGGGGCCUGGAUCCCAUCCUGGUUACUGCAAAUGGGCAUGUUCUUUCCAGCCGGAUGUUCUACGUUUUUUAAGCACUUUUAUUCCAAGUAGGGCCCAAGACCAAUGUUGUCCAUUAAAGGUGACUCUCUUCUGGCAAGAAACAAGAACUUGAGCAAGAACUCUCAGGACUGGAAGGGAAAAGUUGAGAAACAGUAGAAAAUGCGUCCCUGGCAGCCUGGUGCAGAGCGGAGCAGCCCAGCGCCGACACCCCUGCGGCACUAGAGGGCGGGGCAGAGAAGCGGCGAAGCGCCAGGCGCCAGAGCCCGCCAGGGGGAGCUGGGUAUUUCCGAGCUGUCCGCCCAGGGUAUUCACCAAUUCUUUGUUGUUCAGUCCGUAAGUCGUGUGAGACUCUUUGCGACCCCAUGGACUGCAGUCCGCCAGGCUUCCCUGUCCUUUACUAGCUCCCGGAGCUUGCUCAAACUCAUGUACAUCGAGUUGGUGAUGCCAUCCAACCAUCUCAUCCUCUGUCGUCCCCUUCUCC